UACGUAGGGCGCAAGCGUUGUCCGGAAUUAUUGGGCGUAAAGAGCUCGUAGGCGGCUUGUCACGUCGGGUGUGAAAGCCCGGGGCUUAACCCCGGGUCUGCAUUCGAUACGGGCUAGCUAGAGUGUGGUAGGGGAGAUCGGAAUUCCUGGUGUAGCGGUGAAAUGCGCAGAUAUCAGGAGGAACACCGGUGGCGAAGGCGGAUCUCUGGGCCAUUACUGACGCUAAGGAGCGAAAGCGUGGGGAGCGAACAGG
rnacentral:rRNA from 1 species